rfam:Enterococcus sp. RIT-PI-f contig_2, whole genome shotgun sequence.
AUAGAUCCGAUGAUAAGGAAAGUAAACGACGAAACUUUAAAGAGAGACUCUGUUUGGUGGAAAGAGUUAAGUCAGAAGCGUUGAACAAUGGCCUUGGAGGAUUGAUUGUCGAUAAGUAGGCAAUCACGGACAGCUCGACCGAUACCGCGAGCGCCAAUCUCUGUGCAGACAGAUGUUGGGUCAAGGGAAAGGCAACUUUCCGAACAAAAGGUGGUACCGCGAACUUUCGUCCUUUUA